rnacentral:tRNA from 1 species
GCAGUGGUGGCUCCGUGGCAGAGCUCUCGCCUUCCACGCGGGAGACCCGGGUUUGACUCCCGGCCAGGGUU